CACGUAGGGGGCAAGCGUUGUCCGGAUUUAUUGGGCGUAAAGAGCUCGUAGGCGGUUCGGUAAGUCGGGUGUCAAAUCCUCAGGCUCAACCUGGGGCACCACCCGAUACUGCUGUGACUAGAGUCCGGUAGGGGAGCGUGGAAUUCCUGGUGUAGCGGUGAAAUGCGCAGAUAUCAGGAGGAACACCAGCGGCGAAGGCGGCGCUCUGGGCCGGAACUGACGCUGAGGAGCGAAAGCGUGGGUAGCAAACAGG
rnacentral:rRNA from 1 species